UCACUUUGGCAGUAACUACAGUAAAAUUGGAACAGUAUGAAGAAUUGGUCGACCAACAUUGCCCCUGCACAAAGAUGGCACACAGAUAUGUGAAAAAAAAAAAAUGGUG
rnacentral:snRNA from 1 species